rnacentral:sRNA from 1 species
ACUGGGCCCGGGACGCGCCGGCGGCGGCGGAGACUCCGGGGCUGCGGCGCCGCCCGCCCCGCCCGCAGAGUCCGGCUGCCGCGCAUCGUCCGCAGACGCCGCCACCACCAUGGGCUCCUGAGGCUAGCUUGUCACUUUCUGCAAAGGUUUCCCUCAGGGAGCCUCCUGCUGCCAGGCACCAUGACAGUGAGGGGGGCUGUGCUGGCCCCGGAUCCAGCGUCGCCCACGACCGCAGCAGCCUCGCCCAGCGUCUCCGUGAUCCCCGAGGGCAGCCCGACUGCCAUGGAGCAGCCUGUGUUCCUGAUGACAACUGCCGCUCAGGCCAUCUCUGGCUUCUUCGUGUGGACAGCCCUGCUCAUCACAUGCCACCAGCCCAGGGCUCGGCUGGGCCAAGUGUGAUGUCAUGAGAGCUGGGACGAGACACCCAGGGGCUGCCUGGACUGAGGACUGUGGUAGAACAGCUCUUGGCAUUUGUGUGUAGCUUUUACUUUUUUCCUCUGCUUCCUAAAAGUAGCGUUCAUUCUCCUAACUUCCUGGUGAGG